GUGCGAGCGAUGAACCUCCUUCGGGAGGGGAUUAGUGGCGAACGGGUGAGUAACACGUGGGCAAUCUGCCCUGCACUCUGGGACAAGCCCUGGAAACGGGGUCUAAUACCGGAUACUGACCCGCUUGGGCAUCCAAGCGGUUCGAAAGCUCCGGCGGUGCAGGAUGAGCCCGCGGCCUAUCAGCUUGUUGGUGAGGUAAUGGCUCACCAAGGCGACGACGGGUAGCCGGCCUGAGAGGGCGACCGGCCACACUGGGACUGAGACACGGCCCAGACUCCUACGGGAGGCAGCAGUGGGGAAUAUUGCACAAUGGGCGAAAGCCUGAUGCAGCGACGCCGCGUGAGGGAUGACGGCCUUCGGGUUGUAAACCUCUUUCAGCAGGGAAGAAGCGAAAGUGACGGUACCUGCAGAAGAAGCGCCGGCUAACUACGUGCCAGCAGCCGCGGUAAUACGUAGGGCGCGAGCGUUGUCCGGAAUUAUUGGGCGUAAAGAGCUCGUAGGCGGCUUGUCACGUCGGUUGUGAAAGCCCGGGGCUUAACCCCGGGUCUGCAGUCGAUACGGGCAGGCUAGAGUUCGGUAGGGGAGAUCGGAAUUCCUGGUGUAGCGGUGAAAUGCGCAGAUAUCAGGAGGAACACCGGUGGCGAAGGCGGAUCUCUGGGCCGAUACUGACGCUGAGGAGCGAAAGCGUGGGGAGCGAACAGGAUUAGAUACCCUGGUAGUCCACGCCGAAAACGGUGGGCACUAGGUGUGGGCGACAUUCCACGUCGUCCGUGCCGCACCUAACGCAUUAAGUGCCCCGCCUGGGGAGUACGGCCGCGAGGCUAAAUCUCAAAGGAAUUGACGGGGGCCCGCACAAGGCGGCGGAGCAUGUGGCUUAUUUCGACGCAGCGCGAAGACCCUUAACAGGCUUGACAUACCC
rnacentral:rRNA from 1 species